UACGUAGGGUCCGAGCGUUGUCCGGAAUUACUGGGCGUAAAGAGCUCGUAGGUGGUUUGUCGCGUUGUUCGUGAAAACUCACAGCUCAACUGUGGGCGUGCGGGCGAUACGGGCAGACUUGAGUACUGCAGGGGAGACUGGAAUUCCUGGUGUAGCGGUGGAAUGCGCAGAUAUCAGGAGGAACACCGAUGGCGAAGGCAGGUCACUGGGCCGCAACUGACGCUGACACGCGAAAGCUAGGGGAGCGAACGGG
rnacentral:rRNA from 1 species